rnacentral:rRNA from 1 species
GACGUAGGGCGCGAGCGUUGUCCGGAUUUAUUGGGCGUAAAGAGCUCGUAGGCGGCUUGUUGCGUCUGCCGUGAAAGUCCGGGGCUCAACUCCGGAUCUGCGGUGGGUACGGGCAGACUAGAGUGAUGUAGGGGAGACUGGAAUUCCUGGUGUAGCGGUGAAAUGCGCAGAUAUCAGGAGGAACACCGAUGGCGAAGGCAGGUCUCUGGGCAUUAACUGACGCUGAGGAGCGAAAGCAUGGGGAGCGAACAG